AGUCGAACGGCAGCAUAGAGAGCUUGCUCUCUGAUGGCGAGUGGCGAACGGGUGAGUAAUAUAUCGGAACGUGCCCAGUAAUGGGGAAUAACUAGCCGAAAGGUUAGCUAAUACCGCAUACGACCUACGGGUGAAAGCAGGGGAUCUUAGGACCUUGCGUUAUUGGAGCGGCCGAUAUCUGAUUAGCUUGUUGGUGGGGUAAAAGCCUACCAAGGCAACGAUCAGUAGCUGGUCUGAGAGGACGAUCAGCCACACUGGAACUGAGACACGGUCCAGACUCCUACGGGAGGCAGCAGUGGGGAAUUUUGGACAAUGGGGGAAACCCUGAUCCAGCCAUCCCGCGUGAGUGAAGAAGGCCUUCGGGUUGUAAAGCUCUUUCGAAAGUGAAGAAAACUUAUUUCGUAAUAUGUUAUAAGUAUGACGGUAACUUUAGAAGAAGCACCGGCUAACUACGUGCCAGCAGCCGCGGUAAUACGUAGGGUGCGAGCGUUAAUCGGAAUUACUGGGCGUAAAGCGUGCGCAGGCGGUUUUGUAAGUCAGAUGUGAAAUCCCCGAGCUUAACUUGGGAACUGCGUUUGAAACUACAAGACUAGAGUGUGUCAGAGGGGGGUAGAAUUCCACGUGUAGCAGUGAAAUGCGUAGAGAUGUGGAGGAAUACCAAUGGCGAAGGCAGCCCCCUGGGAUAACACUGACGCUCAUGCACGAAAGCGUGGGGAGCGAACAGGAUUAGAUACCCUGGUAGAAGGGC
rnacentral:rRNA from 1 species